AUUUAAAUCAUAAUGUUGCACUAGAUUGCAACACCUUGCUUUUCUUAAAACUCAUGGCAAUUCCCUAAGGACAGUCCGUCCUUAGAGAAAAUAAGAGAUUUCAUCACCAAGAAUCCCAGAAGAAUUCUUGCACUUCAGAAUGAUGAUUUUUAAAAAAAAAAAAAAAGAAAAAGGAAAAAAAGACACAUUUUGCACACAAGAAUAUGGCUGCUGAUGUGAUAAUUGAGACUCAGCUGGCAAAAAAAUAUUUAUCUUUUCACAAUUAUCCUCUUGGAUUUCAUUCUGCAGGAGGUUGAAACAGAAGUCUUGGCAAAAUUAUAAAGUUUGAAUGGGAGAAGUGGCUGCUGUUGGAGGGGCUGUGCUGGACCAGCACAGAGGGAUCUGCCCUCUGGCCACCACCAGGAGAAGGCUCACAGAGCAGCGUGGUGAGAGACCUGCACAAGUGAUUUCCCACCUGAGCACGCUGUGACCUGGAUGCACAGGCCUCUGCAGGACAGGCUGCCACAUGGAACAUCAUUCUGGUGAGCCCCACAGCCCCUGGG
rnacentral:lncRNA from 1 species